AACGAACGCUGGCGGCAUGCCUAACACAUGCAAGUCGAACGAGACCUUCGGGUCUAGUGGCGCACGGGUGCGUAACGCGUGGGAACCUGCCCUUAGGUUCGGAAUAACUCCCCGAAAGGGGUGCUAAUACCGGAUAAUGUCUUCGGACCAAAGAUUUAUCGCCUUUGGAUGGGUCCGCGUUGGAUUAGCUAGUUGGUAGGGUAAAAGCCUACCAAGGCGACGAUCCAUAGCUGGUCUGAGAGGAUGAUCAGCCACACUGGGACUGAGACACGGCCUAGACUCCUACGGGAGGCAGCAGUGGGGAAUAUUGGACAAUGGGCGAAAGCCUGAUCCAGCAAUGCCGCGUGAGUGAUGAAGGCCUUAGGGUUGUAAAGCUCUUUUACCCGGGAUGAUAAUGACAGUACCGGGAGAAUAAGCUCCGGCUAACUCCGUG
rnacentral:rRNA from 1 species